ACGGCUCAGUAACACGUGGACAACCUGCCCUUAGGUUGGGUAUAAACCCGGGAAACUGGGUAUAAUACCCGAUAGGUCUCGAUUGCUGGAAUGCAUCGAGAUUUAAAGCUCCGGCGCCUAAGGAUGGGUCUGCGGCCUAUCAGGUAGUAGUGGGUGUAGCGUACCUACUAGCCUACGACGGGUACGGGUUGUGAGAGCAAGAGCCCGGAGAUGGAUUCUGAGACACGAAUCCAGGCCCUACGGGGUGCAGCAGGCGCGAAAACUUUACAAUGCUGGCAACAGCGAUAAGGGAACCUCGAGUGCCAGGUUACAAAUCUGGCUGUCGAGAUGCCUAAAAAGCAUUUCAUAGCAAGGGCCGGGCAAGACCGGUGCCAGCCGCCGCGGUAACACCGGCGGCUCGAGUGGUAACCGUUAUUAUUGGGUCUAAAGGGUCUGUAGCCGGCCGGAUAAGUCUCUUGAGAAAUCUGGCAGCUUAACUGUCAGGCUUUCAGGAGAUACUGUCUGGCUCGAGGCCGAGAGAGGUGAGAGGUACUUCAGGGGUAGGGGUGAAAUCUUGUAAUCCUUGAAGGACCACCAGUGGCGAAGGCGUCUCACCAGAACGGACCUGACGGCAAGGGACGAAAGCUAGGGGCACGAACCGGAUUAGAUACCCGGGUAGUCCUAGCCGUAAACGAUACUCGCUAGGUGUCGGCCACGGUGCGACCGUUGUCGGUGCCGUAGGGAAGCCGUGAAGCGAGCCACCUGGGAAGUACGGCCGCAAGGCUGAAACUUAAAGGAAUUGGCGGGGGAGCACCACAACGGGUGGAGCUUGCGGUUUAAUUGGAUUCAACGCCGGAAAUCUUACCGGGACCGACAGCAAUAUGAAGGCCAGGCUGAAGACUUUGCCGGAUUAGCUGAGAGGUGGUGCAUGGCCGUCGUCAGUUCGUACUGUGAAGCAUCCUGUUAAGUCAGGCAACGAGCGAGACCCGCACC
rnacentral:rRNA from 1 species